UGGGGAAUUUUGCGCAAUGGGAGCAAUCCUGACGCAGCAACGCCGCGUGGGUGAUGAAGGCCUUCGGGUCGUAAAGCCCUGUCAGGUGGGAAGAAUGUCCCUGGGUGAACAGCUUUGGGGAGUGACGGUAACACCAGAGGAAGCCCCGGCUAACUCCGUGCCAGCAGCCGCCGUAAUACGGAAGGUGCAAGCGGUAUUCGGAGUUACUGGGGGGAAAGCCCGUGUAGGCGGUCCUGCAAGUCUGAUGUGAAAGCCCCGGGCUUAACCUGGGAAGUGCAUUGGACACUGCAGGUCUUGAGUACUGGAGAGGAUGGGGGAAUUCCCGGUGUAGAGGUGAAAUUCGUAGAGAUCGGGAGGAAUAUCAGUGGCGAAGGCGCCCAUCUGGACGGUUACUGACGCUGAGACGCGAAAGCGUGGGGAGCAAACA
rnacentral:rRNA from 1 species